CCUACGGGUGGCAGCAGUGGGGAAUAUUGGACAAUGGGCGAAAGCCUGAUCCAGCCAUGCCGCGUGUGUGAAGAAGGCCUUCGGGUUGUAAAGCACUUUCAGUGGGGAAGAAAGCCUUGGGGCUAAUACCCUCGAGGAAGGACAUCACCCACAGAAGAAGCACCGGCUAACUCCGUGCCAGCAGCCGCGGUAAUACGGAGGGUGCGAGCGUUAAUCGGAAUUACUGGGCGUAAAGCGCGCGUAGGCGGUCUGAUAAGCCGGUUGUGAAAGCCCCGGGCUCAACCUGGGAACGGCAUCCGGAACUGUCAGGCUAGAGUGCAGGAGAGGAAGGUAGAAUUCCCUGUGUAGCGGUGAAAUGCGUAGAGAUCGGGAGGAAUACCAGUGGCGAAGGCGGCCUUCUGGACUGACACUGACGCUGAGGUGCGAAAGCGUGGGUAGCAAACAGGAUUAGAUACCCCGGUAGUC
rnacentral:rRNA from 1 species